CGGCGGACGGGUGAGUAACGCGUGGGUAACCUGCCUCAUACAGGGGGAUAACAGUUGGAAACGGGCUGCUAAUACCGCAUAAGCGCACAGUACCGCAUGGUACGGUGUGAAAAACUCCGGUGGUAUGAGAUGGACCCGCGUCUGAUUAGGUAGUUGGUGGGGUAACGGCCUACCAAGCCGACGAUCAGUAGCCGACCUGAGAGGGUGACCGGCCACAUUGGGACUGAGACACGGCCCAA
rnacentral:rRNA from 1 species